CAAGGGAGGCGGAAUCUCCCGUCACCGGCCUCGAAGGCCCUCGGGGGCUCAGGGCGGGGGCCAGUCCAGGAAGCAGCGAGUCCCACCAGUCGCAGGACGCCCCGACCCGCAGCGGCGCCCCCACCCACGGCUCCGGGACAGCCGCCCAGCGCCAAACCACUCCCCGCCAAGGGCGUCAGGGGAGGGAGGAGCUUGACUGGGGCUAUAGCAGAAGGAGUUCGUCCAGUACCUGUGCUGAGACUGUGAGGCUGCCGUCGCGCGCCGCGACAUUCACGCGGCUGUGGUGCCAGGCCGCUCCUACUCCUGCCAGGGCGGCGCCGGCCACUGCCGCAGCCAAGGGGCCGGGACUCGGCAGAGCCCGUCGGCUGGCAGCGAGCCCCCGUCGCAGUCUUCCGCCCCAGGCCGCCAGCCGAGCGCAGCUCCCCGCAGCCGCCGCCAUCUUUGCGGAAGCGCAGCUACACAGCGCUUGUCUCCUGGCGCCACCGCCAGCGCUGGGAACUCUCGCGACAUUCGACAGGCUUCAGCCCCGCCUACCGAGCCUGCGCCGUGGGUGCGGCUGCUGAGGCGACGCUCGGAACCGCAGGAGUUGACAAACUGUAUCGAAUGUGAAAUGUGUGCCAGGCAUGGAACCACACGUUGAUGACAGCAAGGACAAAUAGGAUACAGCUUCCCGGGGACGGGCUGUGCUCUCACACAUUGACCUGUGCCCUCUAUGCUGAAAACUUUUAAAGCUGUAAAAUGUACAUCUCACGCACAUCAAAGAUGGUGACAGAGAAGAAUUAAGAAAUACAGCAUGUCCAGAGGAGCAAGGGACAAGAUCUAAAUAAUUUCGUGAAAUGUUCCUUGAUCGCAAGAUUUCCGCAGAAAUGUUCAAGCCUGUGAUAUGUAUUCUUGUGCACUGAGACAUCCAGAAUAUCAUAGCCUGUCCUUAACUGUGCAGAAGACCAAGCCACUGAGUAAAUGCAAAUGCUUUGACAUUUUUAUUUGUUUCUUAAAAACCCAAAUAAAAAUUUCAAUUUCAUCAUUCA